UGCACGCAUGACUGUAAGGCUCUUUGGAUAAAACCGUCUGCUAAAUGGCAUAUA
rfam:Salmo salar isolate Sally breed double haploid chromosome ssa15, whole genome shotgun sequence.